rnacentral:rRNA from 1 species
UACAGAGGGUGCAAGCGUUAAUCGGAAUUACUGGGCGUAAAGCGCGCGUAGGCGGCUUCCUAAGUCGGGUGUGAAAGCCCCGGGCUCAACCUGGGAACUGCACUCGAUACUGGGCGGCUAGAGUAUGAGAGAGGGAGGUAGAAUUCCACGUGUAGCGGUGAAAUGCGUAGAUAUGUGGAGGAAUACCGGUGGCGAAGGCGGCCUCCUGGUUCAAUACUGACGCUGAGGUGCGAAAGCGUGGGGAGCAAACAGG